rnacentral:rRNA from 1 species
AUGUGGUCUUCGAGUCAGUGCGACGCCCAUGUGGCUGUCCUGUAUCAGAGCCACCUUGACCAACCGUGGGAGCCAGAAUCUUGGUGUGGGGCUGACGGCCAUGCCACCUGUGGUUAUCUUGGUGUCGCUGACUGUCAGGACGCCUAUUUCUGCUUCCUUCUGGAUGAACAAGGGAGAUGGACGUGUCAGUAG